GAUGAACGCUGGCGGCGUGCUUAACACAUGCAAGUCGAACGGAAAGGCUCCUGCUUGCAGGGGUUCUCGAGUGGCGAACGGGUGAGUAACACGUGGGUGAUCUGCCCUGCACUUCGGGAUAAGCCUUGGAAACUGGGGCUAAUACCGGAGAGGACCACAUUUUGGAUGGUGUGGUGGAAAGUUUGUCGGUGUGGGAUGAGCUCGCGGCCUAUCAGCUUGUUGGUGGGGUAAUGGCCUACCAAGCCGUCGACGGGUAGCCGGCCUGAGAGGGUGUACGGCCACAUUGGGACUGCGAUACGGACCAGAAGCCUACGGGAGGCAGCAGUGGGGAAUAUUGCACAAUGGGCGCAAGCCUGAUGCAGCGACGCCGCGUGGGGGAUGACGGCCUUCGGGUUGUAAACUCCUUUCGCUAGGGCCGAAGCGGAAGUGACGGUACCUGGAGAAGAAGCCCCGGCUAACUACGUG
rnacentral:rRNA from 1 species